GCCUAGCUAGCUCAAUCGGUAGAGCGUGAGACUCUUAAUCUCAAGGCUGUGGGUUCGACCCCCACGUUGGGCU
rnacentral:tRNA from 1 species